CUAACUAUUCUAGCAAAAUGAAAAGUACUCGCUAUAUACAGCGAGUACUGCAACAUUUCUCAAUUAGCCGCCUUGCUGGUGGCGCCAGAGAAGGCUUGCCACAGGGUUUGCUCGCAGCUGCUUAGCUUUAAACCUUGCAAAAACUGAAAACAUCAAAGCAGACAGAAAACAGAGAUGAAGUAUUAUAACAACUGCGCAAUAACAGUGAUGAAGAGGCAAAGGGUUUGCUAUGAAAGCUUCGGCGGUGGUUGGAUGUUGGUCUUGGUACGUCGGCCUUGACGUUGGAGGUAAUUAAUCACCCCUUCUUCUUGUUUUUUUUUUCUUCGCUUAAUUUCUUUUUAGGUUUAUCAAUCUGUUAAUUUUUUUGCGUGAAAUUGAAAGAAUUUGUUUGGUUCUCAAGAAACUAUAAGAGGAAGGAAAGGAAAGUGAAGUGAUUCGAAGUUCUGCGUGUGAUAUAUAUAUCUGCUGCUUUCAUUUUUUUUUACGACUAAUGGAUUUUAUUUUUAAAAAGAGUAGUAGUUUUUAUCAAAGUUGAAGCUUUGAAAGUGGAAAUCGAGGGCUAAUUCGCUAUUUAAAUUUCAAUGUUUUUUUUUUCUUUACUAUGUAAACAAAGAAUUGAAAUUAAAAUGGAUGUUAAAAACGGGAACCAGAGCUUGUAAACUGGUUAGCUAAUAUUUUUACUAAUGGAGAAACAAGAAGUGUAAGAUUUGCAUCUUGUUGUUACUGCUUUUCCUCUAGUUUCUCAGGGAUGAUUAACACCCAUUGAAUAUUUAUGGCACGUGAAGAACCAUGUUGUGGCUAGUCAGGGGUGUUUCUGAUAGAAUUGGCUUCAUAUUUGCCAGGGUGAUCAUUCUCGUCCGACGCGUGUUAGAGUUUGAUGUCCGGUGCAAGAAAGGUUGCUAGGGUUGGCCAGGAGAUAUGAUCUCUAGAGCUUUAGUGUGAUCUCCAAGUAAAUAAACACACAAAUAAUUCUAGAAAAAAAAAAAAGGGGUGCUGGACCCGAGCAUAUAAAUUAGUAAUUAAUUUAUUAAAAUGAG
rnacentral:lncRNA from 1 species